GAAGGAAAGAAGGAAGGGAGGAAGGGAGGAAGGACGGAAGGAAGGGAAGAAGGAAGGGAGGGAGGGAAGAAGGAAGGACAGAAGGACAGAAGGACAGAAGGAAGGAAGGACAGAAGGAAGGAAACAAGGAAGGGAGGGAGGGAGAGAGGAAGGAAGGAAGGAAGGAAUCGAGCGCCAAAAAGAAUCUGGGGAGAGUGCCUUGGGAAGCCCCUUGCCCUCAUCUGGGGUGUCACCAGCCAGUGCGUUCACUGUCCUGCAGGCUGGUGCUCCUGGCACCCCAGGGACUUUGUAAAGGAACCUCCUGGGGACGCCCGACUGCUGACAGACUGGUUCCCCGCAGACCUGAGCGCAGGGGACAGAGCCCCUAGAGACCCGUGGGAAGUGCCAGGAAGGACUUUGAUUCAAGUCUCUAAGAAAAAGGCUUCAUGGCUUAGUAGGUGUGUGGCCGAGGUGGCCGUGGCUGAGCGUGGGCGUGGCCGGGGUGCUGCUUCCCUGGUCGGAGACUCGACCCGGGGCAUAGAGCAGUUCCGUGGGAAGCUCAUGGCUCUCCGUUCUCUUGAUGCAGGUGGUCAAGCGUUGCCUGCCCGCGUGGGUGCUAAGACCUCGAGGGUGUCUCCCACCCGACCCCGCGAGGCCCCUCGUUGUCCUCUUGGUCUGUCACCCUCUAGCCCAGGUCAUAUCUCCUCCGUGCUCUGCACAUGUCCGUGUAUGUAUCACAGGAGGUUUGAAUGGCAGUCAGGACUGGCAAAAGUUGGACUUUCAUUGUGAGCUGAGGAAGGAGGCUGGGGAAGGAAAUGGGAAGAAAGUGGAUAUGCUGAUAGGCAGGCUGGUGCUUCUCCAGGUAAGUCUACCUGCCCUGGCCCCAAGCAGUCCCCUGGGUUUAGCUGGGCCUGCAGGCUCCCAGGAUACAGCAGAACUAACAGCCUGGAACACCAAGUAUCUGGGCAGAUCAGAUCGUCUGCCUAGAGGGGAGCAAUACAGCAGGAAGAGCCCAGCUCCAGUCUCUGUUCUACCCCCUUCCUAACAGAGUUAACUAGUCCAAGCCUCCUGACAUCCCAGAGCCUCAGUUCUUCAUCUGUGAGGUGGGGAUCAAUCAGACAAGAACCAAAGUCAAAGUCAAAUAUGAUUGUUAAUCUACUUACCUGUGCUCAGUAGAUGGUCAUUGAGACUGGUUAUAAACAGAUUUCUAUCGGGGAGUAUCUCAUACUGCCAGGAAAUAAGCAAAGACCAUUCAGAAAAAUGAAGUGUCUUUGUUUUUUUCAGUAAACACCUCCCCAUCAGAACAAAACAAGCCUGCAAGGCAUGCUGAAAAACUUGCCAUGAUAGCAAGGGUUUGGAGGAAGGAUAAGAAAAGAGAUCUCCUGUAGGAUUAUACUAGAAGAACCAGAACCUCAAAUUUCUUAAAUGCUCCAAAAUUUGUGCUAUGGCCUAUUAUAUAGAAAUUCUUACAGCUAAGAUCCAAUAUAUAUUUUCCAGAUGACACACACUAGUAGAAUCAAAUUGUGUGUGUGUGUGGGGGGGGGGGGCAGUGAUUUUGGAACUAUGUCCGUCUGUCAGUCAUCUAUUUAUGAACAAUCUAUACUUCUCCCUUCUUUGGCUUCAUUUUUCUUAUAUAUGCACAUAUACGUGGUUUCGUGCAACAAAUGGUCAUAUGACUAGGGGUGAGGGUGUAAUGGAAAAACAAAAGCUCAAAUUUUGAAGAGACAUAUUCCUGGAACAAUCCAUGGCUCUGCCUUGUAUUAUCCAAGUGGCAUGUCAGAGAAAACCUUUAGGCUGAAAAGAAGAUGAUACCUG
rnacentral:lncRNA from 12 species